rnacentral:SRP_RNA from 1 species
GCCAGGCAUGAUGGCUCAUGCCUGUAAUCCCAGCACUUUGGGAGGCUGAGGUGGGUGGAUCACCUGAGGUCAGGAGUUCCAGACCAGCCUGGCCAAUAUGGUGAAACCCCAUCUCUA